GUGGUUGUAGCUCAGUUGGUUAGAGCGCUGGAUUGUGGUUCCAGAGGUCGCCGGUUCGAAACCGGUCUUCCACCCA
rnacentral:tRNA from 1 species